rnacentral:rRNA from 1 species
UACAGAGGGUGCAAGCGUUAAUCGGAAUUACUGGGCGUAAAGCGUGCGUAGACGGUUAUGUAAGUUAGAGGUGAAAGCCCGGGGCUCAACUCCGGAAUUGCCUUUAAGACUGCAUCGCUAGAAUUGUGGAGAGGUAAGUGGAAUUCCGAGUGUAGAGGUGAAAUUCGUAGAUAUUCGGAAGAACACCAGUGGCGAAGGCGACUUACUGGACACAUAUUGACGCUGAGGUGCGAAAGCGUGGGGAGCAAACAGG